GCCUGGUUGGCUCAGUCGGUAGAGCAUCUGACUCUUGAUCUCAGGGUCAUGAGUUCAAGCCCCACGUUGGGCA
rnacentral:tRNA from 1 species